CCCCCUCCUCCGCCCCGAGCCACCCGCAGAGCGGCCCCUCGCCGGGACUGCCCCCCGCCCGCUGACCCCACCGGCCUGGCUGCCGCCGAGACCCGCCGUCCCCUGGAAGGGCGGGACAGGCGCGCCGAGCCCCCCGCCGGCCUCCGGGUCGGGACUCAGGAGGAGCCCCACAGGACUCUGUCAGUCCGACACACCCUUUCCAGUGAGUCCUACAGUAUCUGCAGCAACGCUGGCCUUUGAUUACACCACACUUCUGCCUGUAAGCUCCUAGAGCACCUGACUCCUGCGUCCGGCAAGGAAGCUGAGAUGAAGGUCCUUAAGUCCUCAGAGGCCAAAUGACUUGCCAGAACCACAAAGCUAAUAAAUGACAGUGUGGGGCUUUGAACCCCAACCUGGCUUACGGCAAAACCUGUGCUUUUAACAAUUACCAGGAGAUUCUGGAAUGCCCUUCCCGCUCCCUGCCAAUUACCUGCUUGUAAAGUCUGCUCAAAACUUGUGUUUUCCACCAAGCCCUCUCUAAAGGACUCCAUUCAGCGUGGAACAGCCCAUCACAGUAUAACCCCUGUCUACUGGUAUUCAGCUUACACUGUGUUAAUUUAUCUUAAUAUGUUUAUCUUUGUUUUAUAAGUGUCUUUAAGGCUCCUGUAAAUGGUUUUAGAUCAUCUGUGGGCUCGUGCGAUCACACUGAAACCUCCUCGGGUAGGGCUGUGGGUUCUCUUAGUGGGCGCUUGAUAAAUGGUGUUGAUCUCAUGUCUAAGUGGGGGCCGGACCAGGCUCUGUUGAGUAUCCUGGAAGUCCCACAGAGCCUCACAGGGUGGGGUGAGUCUGGAUUUGCAUGCUGAAUAAGCGUGUUGUGGUAAGCACUGUCUUCACAGGUGCUUCCCCACUGGAGCAUUUGGCCUCUCUCCCCAUGACUUAGGCCAGCAAUGUCAUGACUCUUAAACAACUUAAGUCAGUACCCCCCACCCCAGGACAUCUUGGCAUUGUGUUAGCACGCUCACUCCCUCUUUCCUGGGAAGUAGAAGGUUAGAGCCAUCGCUGGGAGCAAGGAGGCCCAGAUGAGGAAAUCUACCUGCAGGGGAGCUCUUUGAGAAGGCUGGGGUGAGGGGAAAGAAUUCACAUAGGGUCCGGUCUUGUCAAGCAGGUCUGACUGCUGUAGGACACAACCAGCAAGCAACUGUGGCUCAUUUCUCUACUGGCCAAACCCCCGUGACACCCUUUCUCCGCAGUGCCAUUUCUUGAAGCGGGGUGGGGAAAGGAUGGAUCUUCUGGGAUGGGAAUCUAGCUCUGGCUCCACGACUCUGCCUGAAAUACGCUGAGCUGAUCUGAACCGGACUCAUUCCUGCAGCCCGAGAUUGCC